UACGGGGGGGGCAAGCGUUGUUCGGAAUUACUGGGCGUAAAGGGCUCGUAGGUGGCCAACUAAGUCGGACGUGAAAUCCCUCGGCUUAACCGGGGAACUGCGUCUGAUACUGGAUGGCUUGAGUUCGGGAGAGGGAUGCGGAAUUCCAGGUGUAGCGGUGAAAUGCGUAGAUAUCUGGAGGAACACCGGUGGCGAAGGCGGCAUCCUGGACCGACACUGACGCUGAGGAGUGAAAGCCAGGGGAGCGAACGGG
rnacentral:rRNA from 1 species